GUUGAUUUUUGAUGGAAAACGAUGCAAACGUGGAUCAAAAAACGUUGAAAAUUGUUCAGAUCACGGCUUGAUUGUUUUAGUGAAAUCGGUUAGCUGACAAAGUAAAAAAUUCACUCUAAACGUUUGUGGAUUAAUUUUUUUAGUGCAAUUAAAAUAAUUGAAAAAAAUUACUUCAUCAAGUCAAAAAGAAGAAGUUAAACCCCAAAAACUCUUCCUCAUCCUCCUCUGGAAUCCGAAUUUUUUAUAGUGAAGACAGACAUCUAAAAACGACCAAAAACUGUGCUUUUUAUGGUCCUCUAACUACUCUGAAUGAUGUAUGUGAAGAGAAAGUAAAUUAAAAUAAUUAUAUAUCGUUCUUCAAAAGAUUUGAAAUUCAA